rnacentral:rRNA from 1 species
GACGAACGCUGGCGGCGUGCUUAACACAUGCAAGUCGAACGGAAAGGCCCUGCUUUUGUGGGUUGCUCGAGUGGCGAACGGGUGAGUAACACGUGAGUAUCCUGCCCUUGACUUUGGGAUAACUUCAGGAAACUGGGGCUAUUACCGGAUAUGAGCUCCUGCUGCAUGGUGGGGGUUGUUAAGUCUCGGCGGUUGGGGAUGGAUUCGCGGCUUAUGAGCUUGUUGGUGGGGUAGUGGCUUACCAAGGCUUUGACGGGUAGCCGGCCUGAGAGGGUGACAGGCGAGACAGGGACUAAGAUACGACGCAGGGUAGCAGGGGAGACAACAGCGGAGAGGAAUGCACAAUGGAGGGGAGACGGAGGCAGAGGGACCGAGGGCGGGAUGAUGGAAUUCGGGGUGUAAACCGAUAAAACCUGUGACGAAGCGGGCGUGACGGUAAUGGGUAAAGAAGCACCGGCUAACUACGUG